rnacentral:piRNA from 1 species
UUGGUUUGUGCUGUGGUAGAACGUUUUU